UGCCGGAUGGUGAAAUGGUAUCACGGGUGGCUCUGAACCACUUAUUCUAGGUUCGAAUCCUAGUCCGGCAGCCA
rnacentral:tRNA from 1 species